CCGUAUACGCUGUAAUCUGCACGUGACGUUGGCAGAAGGAACGUGACAUUGUUGUAUUGUUGUUUGCGUUCGUUGACUACUGCGCACCUUGCGACGCCACACCAUUCACGUUGCUGAAGCGGUAGCUGCGUCAUAAUUUUCGAACUCGGGGCCAUCAAAGCACAUGCGCACAAAGUAGCUAUAGCAGUUCAUAAUUCAGCAGAAAUCUGCGUUAGUGCACUUGCAUAGCAAAAGGAGCUGUUCCAACUUUCAGCUGUUCAACCAGAGACCUCUUCAAACUGGUGUACACAAAUUCUAGAAGUGUUACCCUCUUGCAACUAGAUCAUGUAAUAGUGUUUAUCGGUGUCUGUCUGUUUGUCUGUCUUUCUGUUUGUGUGUGUGUGUGUGUGUGUGUGUGUGUGUGU